GCAUGCGGUCCGGACAAGUAGAAGUAGCUUCCAGCAGUGGGCGGCUCUCCCACCCCAACCUCCCACGAUCGCCUCCCCCCUUGAACGAGUCUCUUCAAGAUACCAAGGAGCUAUCCACUCCAUACUGCCAGAGGAAAUGGGAUCACAAAGGAACACAGAGAUAACCUGAAUAGUGCCAAAAGAGCACACAGGUCUACAAAUCAAAAACCAAUCCAGAGAAGCGACUCUGGCUGGCAGCGUGCUAAAUGUUCCGACAUCUUGGUGUGGUGGCAGCUAUUUGUCUGGGUUUUGGUGCUUCUCCAUCUAUAGAGUACUUUGUAGCCAACCCAGAAUAUGAAGCAACCCAAGAGGAAGAGAAAUCUGGAUCUUUGUUUUCAUUCAACUGCUGGUGACGAGGGCCUUCCAUCCUGCCAAUGGUAGGACAAUGGUGGCAACCAAGGUAGGUCAUCCUUAACUGCCUUUGGAGAUGAGUAAGGAAAAAACAGCACCUGCAGAUGUCAUAGGAGAAAAGGAAAUGUUUAACUGAAUAUGAAGUUCUAUCUUUUCAAUGUAUUACUCAAAGUUAUGUAGGCUUGAUAAACACUUUUAGUGGAUUCCUGUUUCCUUGGACUUGCUUUAUACCUUGGAAGGCCACCUCAGAGAGAGAGUCAGGGAGUAACAUAAAGACAUACAAACUACUCCAGGAAGUCAGGAGGGAAGAUAACCAACCAGAAUGUUGGGAGGAUUGGGGAAAGCUUCUCUGAGGAGAUAGCAUUGGAAUCUGUCUUGAAUGACUGGGCAGACAUUCAACAGGCAAAGAGGGUAUUCCAAAUUGAGGGAACAAUCUGAGCAGAGCUAGAGGAAGGACACACAGGGGAAUAGAGUUAUUUAAUUUGGCUGGAGUGGAGAAGGUAUGGGGUUGGCAGAAAGAAAUGUGAGUUAAGGUUGGAAAGAUAAUGUCUCAAAAGCUAGGGAAAUUCUUUGAGAAGCAAUGAAUGGAAGAUACGGAGAGAUACAUUUACAUUCCAUGCCAUGAAAACAUUUCUAAGAAAGAGAGCUGUCCCAAAGUGAAAUAGGUUGUCUCUGGAGGUAAUGAAUUUCCCUUCCAAGUGAAAGCUAGAUUCCCAUUGACACAGGAUAGUGGGGAGGUGAUUUCUGUUCAUAGAUCUCUGAAGUCUUGAAUGAGUCUCUGGUUUUGGUUUGGCAAUUCCAUUCAA